GAUGAAGAACGUAGCGAAAUGCGAUAAGUAAUGUGAAUUGCAGAAUUCAGUGAAUCAUCGAAUCUUUGAACGCACCUUGCACCCUUUGGCAUUCUGAAGGGUAUGCUCGUUUGAGUGUCAUUGUACUCUCACACUCCCGAUCUUUGCAUUGGGAGCAGUGGACUUGGGUUUGCUGCUUCACCGUCGCUUACCUCAAAUAGGUUAGUGCAACUCUUGGUUGGACAUAGUACGGCGUGAUAAGUGUUCUUCGCCGGUGCCUCGCAAAGAGGGUGGCCGAUCGGGAUGUUGUGCUACAAACCGUCUUCGGACAAUCUCUGACGACUUGACCUCAAAUCGAGUAAGACUACCCGCUGAACUUAAGCAUAUCAAUAAGCGGAGGA
rnacentral:misc_RNA from 1 species